rnacentral:rRNA from 1 species
CGGUUGAUCCUGCCGGAGGACAUUGCUAUUGGGAUUCGAUUUAGCCAUGCUAGUCGAGCGAGUUCAGACUCGCGGCAGAUAGCUCAGUAACACGUGGCCAAACUACCCUACAGAGCGGGACACCCUCGGGAAACUGAGGCUAAUCCCGCAUACGGCUCUCAGGUUUGAACAACAGAGAGUUCCAAACGCGACAGCGCUGUAGGAUGUGGCUGCGGCCGAUUAGGUAGACGGUGGGGUAACGGCCCACCGUGCCCAUAAUCGGUACGGGUUGUGAGGGCAAGAGCCCGGAGACGGUAUCUGAGACAAGAUACCGGGCCCUACGGGGCGCAGCAGGCGCGAAACCUUUACACUGCACGCAAGUGCGAUAAGGGGACUCCGAGUGCGAGGGCAUAUCGUCCUCGCUUUUGUGUACCGUAGGGAGGUACACGAACAAGAGCUGGGCAAGACCGGUGCCAGCCGCCGCGGUAAUACCGGCAGCUCAAGUGAUGGCCGAUCUUAUUGGGCCUAAAGCGUCCGUAGCUGGCCUCGCAAGUCCGUCGGGAAAUCCACGCGCUCAACGCGUGGGCGUCCGGCGGAAACUCCGAGGCUUGGGACCGGAAGGCUCGAGGGGUACGUCCGGGGUAGGAGUGAAAUCCUGUAAUCCCGGACGGACCACCGAUGGCGAAAGCACCUCGAGAAGACGGAUCCGACAGUGAGGGACGAAAGCUAGGGUCUCGAACCGGAUUAGAUACCCGGGUAGUCCUAGCCGUAAACGAUGCUCGCUAGGUGUGGCACAGGCUACGCGCCUGUGCUGUGCCGUAGGGAAGCCGAGAAGCGAGCCGCCUGGGAAGUACGUCUGCAAGGAUGAAACUUAAAGGAAUUGGCGGGGGAGCACUACAACCGGAGGAGCCUGCGGUUUAAUUGGACUCAACGCCGGACAUCUCACCAGCUCCGACUACGGUAAUGACGGUCAGGUU